rnacentral:lncRNA from 1 species
CAAAUUUGAUGUAUAGCUUUGUGCCUAAAACUUGAAUUCCUUCUUAAUUGCCUUCCCUUCCGUUUUCCUACAUCUGGCGAUUCCUCUUUUUCUUAGCCUGCAUAGAGUUCAAUUUUUUUUUAAAAAAAAAGUGAAAACCCAUAGAACAACACAAACAAAAAUUCCAACCUACUCUAGAAUGCACUCAGAACAAACCUAUUCCACAAUGUCACUGAAGUCCUUUGUAUUGAUUUCAUAGUUUCUCCUCUUCCCUUGCUUCCGCAUACAUGAAGCAUGUCACCCAAUAAUGAAUAACUCACUCCCAUAAAACCCAUAAAACUUUGCAUGCAUGCAUCAAACAACACAUCAAGAAUCUGGGCUCCUAUUAUAAAAAAAGAAACAUACCUUACUUUGCUGCCAAAGUAAUAUCAUCCAAAGCCUCUAAUUCUUCCAACCAAAGAGUGACAUCCACUUAGUCCUAGUAGUAGCUCAACCUAGGUAAGGAUCACGUGGAAUCAGUAUGACAAAAUGCGGAGGAUAAUUGAAUAGAGGUCGAAAGAAUUUCAUAUAUAAAUCUAGCCAACAAAUCAUUAAGUGCUUGUGGAGUAACACUAACAUAUCCACAAAGAACCAAUGAGCCCUAUUCAUACAUUGAUGGUCUGUUUCUCAUUGCAUGCCACAAAAGACUUAUAGAAGGGAAUAUUUCCUAAGGUAAAUAUGCAUUAUUGAGGAAAGUUUCAUUCAUCGCCUAGUUUUAUGUUUCAUCUUCUUCCAAAUGAGUGACUAUUUUUACUUUAAACCCCCUUGUUCAAGAUGAUAAGCCUUUUAACACAAUAUUGAUGUCUAUCAGCAUGGCACACUUAUGAGCACGCACAUAAUCCUACACAUCCAAUGUCAACAAACGUUUACAAUUCACAUGGUUUGGUCCAACAAUACCAUGGUUAGUGCAUUAUAAUAUUAAAGCAUGCAAACUAUCAAUUCAGUUUAAACAUUAAAUAUUAACUGCAAUUGCAGUUCAUCUUCAUUCACAGGGAAAGCAAUGAGACAAAAACUGACCCCAAUCUGUGUAGAAUUUGAAACUUAGGGAAGCUGCCUCCGCUGCAUUUUGCUAGACGUUUACCAACAUAUGAGUACCCGAGCAAAAUCAGAGCCGUGAGUUGGGGCAACGAGUGAAGCAUGGCAAAGGGGUCAUGGGUGAUAAUGGAAUGGGCUAAGACUAGGGUAGUGUGAGACUCAGGCGCACUGUCUAAAAGAAAAUGAAGAUUUGGGGUAGAGGAUUACCAUGGAAUGAGUUUAAUGAAGAUUUGGGGUAGAGGAUUACCAUGGAAUGAGUUUAUGAGCAGCUCGCAUUCAUGAACGCACAGGCAACAUUCUAGAGAGUGGUAAUCUACCAUCCUUCAGUGGUCUCCUGCGAAACUCGAAUGAGCGAGAUGUGCUCCACUUUGUAACGUUCUUCAUAGCGCAGCCACUCCAUAAACUCAUCGCGUGUCGACGGAAGAUCCAAUGCUUGAAAGGUAGUGAGGUGUUGGAAGCCUUGAGGCAGCCGUGACAUUCUCCAUAUUCUAGAAAUUUGCAGUCAACAGAGGUAUGGCUUCGCUCCCUUCUCCAAUCAUGUUCUAGAAAUUCGCAGUCAACGGAGGCAUGGCAUCACUCCGUUCUCCAAUCAUAUUCUAGAAAUUCGCAGUCGACGAAGGCAUGGCAUCGCUCCCUUCUCCAAUUCUUCCCCUCAAUUGGAAAACCCAGAAAACCAGAAGAAGGCCAUGGAAGCACUUUUUUAGCUUGGCUUUUUACUAACCUUAUUAAGUUUCGAGAUGUAACCCUUUUUUGGGGCACAAUGGUCGACUGAUUACAAACCACUCGAGCCAGGCCCCAUUUUUUU